UACGUAGGGGGCAAGCGUUGUCCGGAAUUAUUGGGCGUAAAGCGCGUGUAGGCGGUCCGGUAAGUCGGCUGUGAAAGUCCAGGGCUCAACCCUGGGAUGCCGGUCGAUACUGCCGGACUAGAGUUCGGAAGAGGCGAGUGGAAUUCCCGGUGUAGCGGUGAAAUGCGCAGAUAUCGGGAGGAACACCAAUGGCGAAGGCAGCUCGCUGGGACGUUACUGACGCUGAGAAGCGAAAGCAUGGGGAGCGAACAGG
rnacentral:rRNA from 1 species